rnacentral:rRNA from 1 species
UGGGGAAUAUUGCACAAUGGGCGCAAGCCUGAUGCAGCCAUGCCGCGUGUGUGAAGAAGGCCUUCGGGUUGUAAAGCACUUUCAGCGAGGAGGAAGGGUUCAGUGUUAAUAGCACUGUUCAUUGACGUUACUCGCAGAAGAAGCACCGGCUAACUCCGUGCCAGCAGCCGCGGUAAUACGGAGGGUGCAAGCGUUAAUCGGAAUUACUGGGCGUAAAGCGCACGCAGGCGGUUUGUUAAGUCAGAUGUG